UACCACAUUUUCUUUAAUCAGUCAUCCAUUGAUGGACAACUGGGUUGAUUCCACGUCUUAGCUAUUGUUAAUUGAACUUCAGUGAAUAUGAGAGUACACAUAACUUUCAGAUGCAUAUAUAACUUUCUUCCAGUUGAUAGACCCAUGGAGUCCCUCUUCCGCUCUACUGUUUUCCCAUAUUAUUACAGCAGCGUAGUCCUUCAGCAACAGCCACAAGUCCAACAUUCUGCUGUUUGGUGUAUCAUAGGAAUGUAGGUAUAGACUAUGGCAUCUGUGGAAACGUUUAUUGGUUUUCUCCUUUGAGGGCCUUUACGUUUGAAAUAUGCUUCUGAGACUUAGUGGAACGUCUGCUGCUUCAGUGAAUACCCGGAGGCAGAGUCCCUGAGAGUGGGACCCACACAUACAUCUUCUGCCCACUGGCUUACUCCAAGACAGUAACAACUGCUGGUGCUCCAAUUCAAAACCAGGAGAAUUCCAGAAACUACAGAGAAGAAGAUUGAAUGAUUAUUCAUUUUGCAGGAUCCAUGAGGACCCUAAUCCUAGGCAAC